AAUAAAAUAAAAUACAGAUAAAAUUGAAAGCAAAGGCAAUACAUCACAAUGCAGUAAUACACUGAAGAAUAAUUAGUUAUUUCUUAGUUGUGGUAUGCUUUUAAAAUGACAGGGAGGGUUUGGGAUAAAAUCAAGUAGAAUGGAGAAAAUGAAUCUAUGAUGUCCUUCAGAUAAAGGAAAAAUUAUGGAAAUAUGACCAAUUAUUCUUUAUUCUUACUAAGAACAAGACAAGGAGGAAUGUUACAUUCCAGUGGGGGCAGUGGCGUGGGGGAUAAUUGAAACAGAAUGGGAAGAAUCUAGGACAACUAAGCUUAACUGUUUCCUCCACUGGGACUUGUCUCCAUAAAUGAAGGUUGAACUGUUCAGGCAAGUCAACUAAAAUGACAGCAAAGAUGUGCAGCCUGGAGCUCUUGUCAAGAAGAACAGAUAUGACACUAUGCUCAUCAUGAAACAUGAACAAAGAACUUAAUAAAAUGCAGGCAUUUCUUAUCCUAGGACCGGCCCAGCUGUGCAUUUUUCCUUUGGGUUUCAAGAGAUAUCCCUGUGAACUUACAGUCAAUAGUUACUUGCUAUCAAAAAUGCUCCGAUAAAGAUGGUAAGAAAGACUGUACCAAAGUCUGCUUGUAUCCUUUGCUGUGCCCUUUUUAAACCUUAGUGCAAUCAAUAGGUAUUCAUACUGAGUUGGGGGUUUCCUCCAGGAAGAAUAUAUUUAACUCAGAACUAGAGACAACAAAUAACUCUUCCAUUUCCAGAAACCAG
rnacentral:lncRNA from 1 species